GCGACGUAUUAUCGUGGCGCUUGGGCUCGC
rnacentral:sRNA from 1 species